rnacentral:lncRNA from 1 species
CUUUAAGUGAAAGGGUAGAAGUUCUUAAUUUAAUACGGAAAAAAUCGUGUGCUGAAGUCAGUGGUAAGAACCAAUCUAUUCAUGAAACUGAAGGACAAAGAAAUUUAUGUUGUGCUGUCGCACCUCAAACUACAAAAGUUACAGCCACAGGUCUCACUGCAUAGCCCAGGCUGGUCUCGAACUUCUCCAAUCCUCCUGCCUCAGCCUCUCAAGUGCUGGUAUUACAGCUAACAUCUUUUGAAUACCCUUUCUGUGUGCUGAACACUGUGAAGUGCUUGCUGUGUUCCACAGCGUGGAGUCCUUAGUGCUUGCGUGCACCUGCCACACCAAAGGGUGGGAACUUGUCAGCACAUUUUUCAGUUAAGGAAUAAGAGUCAGCAGGCUUUUGAGAUCCAAACCCACUCACUCCCGGCACCCCUUGAUGUUCCACUCUGGGAUUCACAAAGUCCAAUAUUCAACAUGUAUGUUUCAGGAUAUAUCCUGCC